rnacentral:rRNA from 1 species
GGUUCGGAUCAUGGCUCAGAUUGAACGCUGGCGGGAUGCUUUACACAUGCAAGUCGAACGGCAGCACGGACUUCGGUCUGGUGGCGAGUGGCGAACGGGUGAGUAAUGGUCGAACGUGCCUAGUAGCGGGGGAUAACUACGCGAAAGCGUAGCCACACCGCAUACGAUCCUUCGGGGGAAAGCGGGGGAAUCUUCUGGCCUCUGCACUAUUAGAGCGGCCGAUAUCGGAUUAGCUAGUUGGUGGGGUAACGGCUCACCAAGGCGACGAUCCGUAGCUGGUUUGAGAGGACGACCAGCCACACUGGGACUGAGACACGGCCCAGACUCCCACGGGAGGCAGCAGUGGGGAAUUUUGGACAAUGGGGAAACCCUGAUCCAGCCAUCCUGCGUGUGCGAUGAAGGCCUUCGGGUUGUAAAGCACUUUCGGCAGGAAAGAAACGGCACGGGAUAAUACCCCGUGCAACUGACGGUACCUGCAGAAUACAUCCGGCUAACUACGUGCCAGCAGCCGCGUAAAAUACGUAGGGUGCAAGCGUUAAUCGGAAUUACUGGGCGUAAAGCGCGGCAGGCGGUUCGGAAAGAAAGAUGUGAAAUCCCAGAGCUUAACUUUGGAACUGCAUUUUUAACUACCGAGCUAGAGGCCAGAGGGAGGUGGAACUUCAAAGUGUGUAGCAGUGAAAUGCGUAGAUAUGCGGAGGAACACUGAUGGCGAAGGCAGCCUCCUGGGAUAACACUCGACGCUCAUGCACGAAAGCGUGGGGAGCAAACAGGAUUAGAUACCCUGGUAGUCCACGCCCUAAACGAUGUCAACUAGCUGUUGGGGCCUUCGGGCCUGGUAGCGCAGCUAACGCGUGAAGUUGACCGUCUGGGGAGCAUGAAGCCCGCAAGAUUAAAACUCAAAGAAUUGACGGGGACCGUACCAAGCGGAUGAUGUGGAUUAAUUCUGAUGCAACGCGAAAAACCUUUACCUACCUCUUGACGUCUGAAUCCCGGAAGAUUUGGGAGUGUCGGCAAGAGCAGUCCCGGAACAGGUGCUGGAGGCCGUCGUCGCCGUCAGGAGAUGUUGGGUUAAGUCCCGCAACGAGCGCAACCCUUAUUGCUGGCUGUUACGAAAGGCACUCUAUCGAGACUGCCGGUGACAAAUCAGAUAGCUGCGGUGGGGAUGACGUCAAGUCCUCAUGGCCCUUAUGGGUAGGGUCACACGUCAUACAAUGGUUUCGUACAGAGGGUCGCCAACCCGCGAGGGGGAGCCAAUCCCAAAACCCGAUCGUAGUCCGAUCGCAGUCUGCAACUCGACUGCGUGAAGUCGGAAUCGCUAGUAAUCGCGGAUCAGCAUGUCGCGGUGAAUACGUUCCGGGUCUUGUACACAAUUCCCCGCCCACACACCAUGGGUGGUUUACCAGAAGUGAAGUUAGCCUAACCGUGCGGAUGGGCGCGAUUACCACGUAGGAUUCACAUCAGUAGUCGUAACAAGGUAACCUCAGCCACACCCUGAUGCUCCCAGGAGCACAUGCAACUGAAAUCAG